rnacentral:rRNA from 1 species
AACGAACGCUGGCGGCAUGCCUAACACAUGCAAGUCGAACGAGACCUUCGGGUCUAGUGGCGCACGGGUGCGUAACGCGUGGGAACCUGCCCUUAGGUUCAGAAUAACUCCCCGAAAGGGGUGCUAAUACCGGAUAAUGUCUUCGGACCAAAGAUUUAUCGCCUUUGGAUGGGCCCGCGUUGGAUUAGCUAGUUGGUAGGGUAAAAGCCUACCAAGGCGACGAUCCAUAGCUGGUCUGAGAGGAUGAUCAGCCACACUGGGACUGAGACACGGCCCAGACUCCUACGGGAAGCAGCAGUGGGGAAUAUUGGACAAUGGGCGAAAGCCUGAGCCAGCAAUGCCGCGUGAGUGAUGAAGGCCUUAGGGUUGUAAAGCUCUUUUACCCGGGAUGAUAAUGACAGUACCGGGAGAAUAAGCUCCGGCUAACUCCGUG